ensembl:lncRNA
GACGGCGCAGGGGCGCUGCGGGCUCCGGGGCAGCUCCCGCCCUCCCUGAGGGAACCCCCAGCUCUCCUCCAGAGCCCCUCCGGCACAUCGGGCAGGAGAUGCAGUUUGUACUGCUCAGGGGCCGCCCGUAAAGAGUCUCCUGAAAAAUUAGGAGAGAGAGAUUUGUGGAGGGUGCCUGAAGAAGGAUACUGAACCCAGAGGACCUGCAACAGUUAACAGCAGCUGAGACACUGAGAUUUUCUCCCAGUUUUCAGAGUCUACCCUUUUUCUGCAUACGUGGAAUUUCUCACAGAAUUAUCAUCUCUACUAAAGGCAAAUUAAUUACCCAACUAAAGAGUCCAUGGAAGCAGUGAAAGGAACAUUUCAGAAGACAAAAGGAAAGAACAGUUCCUCUUCCUGUCACAUUGCUCACACCAGGCUUCCCUUUAACUGUGGUGAGAAGCCAGCUCUAUAAUUCUAAUUGUGCUGUAAUUGUCUGCUGUGUACGUUUAACAUCUGCCUGUGCCAUAACAAUCAAUAGCAGUUAACUUUGUUUUUCUUUUCCCCCUUGGUGUGAUAAGUGAUGUUUCUUUCCAGCUUGUGUCACAGUUUGUAUUAUCUUUGUUGACAGCCCAUCUUGCAAGGGAGUCUCUCUUCAGUGUUAUGUUAAUAAUCUUAGAAGAGAAAAUACACAGUGCUAAUUCCUAAAAACCAGGGAAAUGACACAUCGCUGUGUACCUGGCUAUAGCCCUAAAACUUGAAUGACAGAGCUAUUUUGUCUGAGUGCAAUGGCACUGAUCUCCCUCUUUCUAUAAAAUUAUGCAACCAUACAUCAAAGCAGUGGUUCCAUUAUUUUUAUAUGUCUAGCAAACAAAACUGGACAUUAUAUCCUGCAACCUAAAUGUCUGCAAUAUGGACAGCUCCACUAAAUGUUUGGUUGCUGACAGACGAUCUGCAAGACACUGAUUUAUGGGGGACAGAAGGUAAAAUUAUCUGGAGUCAGAGAGUAAGUUACACUUGCAAUUUCAGAUUUUCCUCCUUAAUUACUGCAGUAAUACAGAAGAUUGGCAAGAAAAAACAAACACAGAUGUUCCCCAGUUUUGCCUAGUGUUUGGUGACUGGCAAAAUACAAAAGUCCCAAAUCUGACUUUGGUAAAAGUCCAUGAGAACUCUGGGUCCUUGUCUAAGUUUUAAAGGGGAUUCCAAGAAAAUUUUCAUUCUAACAAAAUAUUUUUCCAGAUUGUUCUUACCUGGAGAAAUAAGCUGAAACAUUAAAAGAACACACAGGAAAUGGUCUGUAUCAUUUUUAUUUUUACAUAUGAGUGAAGCAGUGACAAUCUCCAAAUUUUUAUCUAUGGAACAUACCAUUUAAAAUGUCUUUUAAGAUCUUCCAUGAAGAACAUAGAUUGAAUAAAUUACUAUUUACAAGUGAAAUUUUUUUUUUUUUUAUCCAAACUUCACAGUGAACUGUAUUAUAUACUUUGGUAUGCCGGUUUUCCACAUGAUAAAAGUAUUGAAAUAUUAAAAGGCUAUACUCAAAAUAGUCCUUGUUGAAAAAAACUGAAGAAGUUUAUAAGGAUCUAUUUCCUGUUAAUAGAGUUUGAAAAAGUUUAAGUCAAGGCAUCUAGUCUCCUAAAUAUUUUUUUUAAAUCAAAGCUCUGAACCAUGACAGGUAAAAGCAUUCAAGAGUAUAAACUAUAUUAAAAAAAUCCCAAACAGCCAAAGCCAGUGGGUAAAAUAUAAAGGCUAUGUGACAUCCUGUAGUUAUCUAUGACAGCUUAAUAGCAUUUCAGGGAUAUAACAAAUACAGCAAAGAUUUCUUCAGAACAUUAAUUCUUGGCCAUACUAGCUCCGAAAUAAAAUGAAAUAUUUGAUAUUGAUACCUACAGAAAAAAACUUACAGCCUUUUCCUCCUGUCAUAAACAUUACACAUCUUCCUUACAGGAAUAUCCUUAACAGACUCAUCCUCUCGAGUACCACUUCAGAAAAAAAAAUUUCCAUAGGGUUGGAAUAUAGGCUGUGUUAUCCAUCCAUGCAACUCCUACUUCUGGUAUUAAUGUUCAUGGGAGCUAGCAGAAAAGAACAGUAAUAGAAGCCCAUGAAUGUGAGAACGUAUAACACUUUUUUUUUCUCUCUUCUGUCUUUUUGAUCCCUUUGCUGCUUGAAUUUUUGUGUUUAUACAUUGUUUUCCUAUGUUAGGAGAACAACAUGACAAUCGUUUUAGUGUAUUUCUUCAUUCACACACAAAACUAGCUUGGCAGGUUAGCAAACAAGACAAAACCUAACUCAGAGAUAAAAAUUGAGACAGUGAGGAGGAAUACUUUUCCCUAAAUAGUUGAGCUCAAAAUAUCAUCUUCAAUUGCUCUUCUCUACAGACAAAUAUGUACCUUCGUAGCUUUGUGUACCUCCUUGUUCUACACUACGCUAAAAACACACACUGACAAAACCAUAGUGGUUUUGCCACACUUACAACAUCUAUAUGCUCCAACUAAAACAAAGAACUCUGAAGGAAAAGAAUCGAAGUAUUUACAUUAAUUAAAUUCACUGCUGCCAGAAACUGUAACUUCAAAAUUGUGAAAUAGAAUUUAGUAAGAGAAACAAAAGCUGUUACAGCCAAUUCAGAAAUGAGCAAGCACUCCAACUGACUCUUUAAAAUACUAAGUCAUCAACCCUAAAAAAUAAAAGAUAAUUGAACAGAUACCAUGUAGUAAAGGUUGCAGGCUAUGUAUGGCUGCAGGAAGCAAAAAAAUAAAACUCCUUGUGAAAAACACUGCAUGGGUAAAGGCUGUACUGCAGAUACAGCCAGGCUUAAUUAAACACAUCAAUGGCAAAAUAUUUUGAGGACAAGCUCAGUGUUAAAUGCAUGAUUUUUGUGUGAAGCUGCAGGUGACAAAAUCCAGAUGGCAGCAAAUCAUGACUGUAACAGAAAAGGCACUUUAUACAUUUCUUAUUUUGAUCAUUACCACUGUUACUAUUUUUGGUAAUAAGCAGCAUCUUUAAAAGUGAGCAACAUAAGGCUGAGAUUCAUGCACAGUAGAACCACUACCCCUACAUCCCUAAGAGCACAUCACUUUGCAGCCUUCAAGAUGGACAUAGUACGAAACAGGCGGCCUCUUGUGCAAUGUGCUAUCAACAGUACUGUCUGCCAUUUAGGUCAGGCUUUUAGAAACAGUCAAAACUCUUAAGAAGGAUAAAGAUUUAUUUCAGGCUGCUAAUAUUGAUAGGCUUCCUUAGGAAGAGCCCUGCUGGAGGGUUUCUCCCAAGGUGCUUCCUUCAGAACUGUCUCUCUGGAGGCUGUUGUCCAAAUUCAGAAUUCCCACAGAAAAGCCCGAUGGAUGACUGCUAAAGAGCUUUUUGGUUUCAGCUUUGUGCCAGACCUGCUGUUGUAAUCACCAACUCAAACUAUAACACCCUAUAUCUAUAACUCUAUUCCUGACCAACCAAAAUUGCCAAUUUCAGGUAUUAAACCUAAAAUCUCAGUGUUACAAAAUUGCUUCAGGGAGAGUUGUCAUCAACUCAAAGGGAGCUAAGUGAGGGCAGAGAGUCAUCCUAGUCACCACACAGAUUUCUCCUGGAGGAUGUGGGCUGGAUAGUUAAUUCAUCACACAAAAAGCAAGGGGGUAAUUAAGAUGUCUCACAUAAAGAGCAGUUGAGAACAUUAGUCCUGGUUACGAUUCCCUGUCUCUGCCCUGACACACCAAUGCUAUUUUCUAUCCUCUCAUCACUUACCAAAUGCUUAAACCUCCCAGCCUUUUUCUUUGCCUGUAACUAAUCAUUACUGGCAACUGGCCACAAAGUUAAAAACAUCCAGUGGUAGUGUUCUGUGUAGUUUUCAGAAAAAAUAAAAGCCUUCUUAAAAAACUAUAUGGUGAAACACCAGGAUACAGAGAAUAAGGAUCAUAUUUUUGAUUCUGGGAUCCAUACUAUCAUUUCAACAGUACCACAUUACUGCAUUGUAUGCAUUACUGUAUAUAUCUACACAUGUAUUUACAAUUUGCAGGUCCAGAUCUGGACAGAGAAACUACAACUCUUCAAAGAAGGACGAAAAGAAAAUUCUUCCAAACACUCAAAGUAAUUUACUUGAACCUUUUAUUUCUCUUCCAUGUAUGCGCAUUUUGAGAGUAGGGCACAAAAUGUGUCUUGAUUUUGAAGGGAUUACUUAUCUCUGAUGUGUAUGGUCUUUCAUAUGGAAAUCAGACAUUAUUUAUUUCCUUGAACAAACCCCAUGUUCAGUUUAUACAAAAAUCUAGAUUUACACACCUAGAAGAAAUAUUAUCCCCCAUUUAUUUUCAAGCUCAUUUUGAAGCACAAUUCAAACUCUGGUAAUAAAGAGUCUGACCCACAACCUCUUACCAUUUGUCCAAAUUUACCCAGCUUUGGCAAACCUUCUUUGCCUACUCUUCCAGGAUUUUUGCAUGUUGUUUGGACAGAAGUUCACUCAAAAAUGUUGCUACAAAUCAGCAGUGCACAGCUGGUGUUUUUCAUGGGUUUUCUAUGCAAAACCUGGAAUUCCCAAAGUUUUUGGCUUUGCACACAUUGUGAAGAUACAAUGCUGAUUUAACAGCCCAGAAUUGCCCAAACCAUUCACUUCUGUGAGAAGAAUGAAUAACCAGUAGCACAUCAGGACAAACUAGCAACAUCUAUGCCAGAAUUCACAGCAUUUACAUUUGCUUAGUACCUAAACUUUGACCCUAACAUCCUGAUCCAAAUGAGCAUUAGAUCUGAGAAUGUUCUAGUUCAAGCCUGUCAGAACAUUCAGAUCAGCUUUCUGUACUAUGAAUGUUUAAUCCCAGACCCAUGAAAUUCAGCAGCAAAAUUUUAGCUGCUUUCUAUGGUAUUGAAUGGAAAUAGACUGAAGUAAAUGGAAAUUUUCUACUUACUCCAAGGUGGCGUUCUAUACAAUAGCUGACAGAGACUAUUAAAAGGGUAAUAAGUUUCUCACCUUUAGAUUUAGUCUUGGAAACAAACCAAGACUACUACUUUUAGUAGUACUUUUUUUAGCAUCAGUUAACAUUUUUAGCAUCAGUUAAAUAUAAUCUAGAACGGGGAGAGUCCUGGGAUAGGUGGGAUGGAUAUAUGUCAGGAGCCUGUUUUGUCUAGACUUAAAAAGAGAAGACUUGAGGAGUCCUUGCCUACAGCUGUCAGAUGGGAGAGAGUAGGGAGAUGGUCAUAUUUUACAGCUACCCAGUGGGUAGAGGAGAAGAAGUAGACACAAGCAGCAACUUAGGAAAAUUCCAUUAAAAAAUAUAUUGUCAGAGUAGUCAAACACUUUGCCUCUGCAGUGUUCAGCACUUCAGGUCUCACUGCAAAAGUUUAUGCAUGCUACGAUUUUGAUGUUUGUAUUUGUAAUUCUUGCUCUGGGUAAAACUUAGAAAGCAGUGCUACACUCAGAAAAUAUUUUUUUAAGAUGCUAUAUAUGUAUUUGUGACAAAGACAUCUGAAAUUUUAGAAGC